UUGCACGCUGGCGGCAGGCCUAACCCCUGCCAGUCGAGCGGAUGAAGGGAGCUUGCUCCUGGAUUCAGCGGCGGACGGGUGAGUAAUGCCUAGGAAUCUGCCUGGUAGUGGGGGAUAACGUCCGGAAACGGGCGCUAAUACCGCAUACGUCCUGAGGGAGAAAGUGGGGGAUCUUCGGACCUCACGCUAUCAGAUGAGCCUAGGUCGGAUUAGCUAGUUGGUGGGGUAAAGGCCUACCGAGGCGACGAUCCGUAACUGGUCUGAGAGGAUGAUCAGUCACACUGGAACUGAGACACGGUCCAGACUCCUACGGGAGGCAGCAGUGGGGAAUAUUGGACAAUGGGCGAAAGCCUGAUCCAGCCAUGCCGCGUGUGUGAAGAAGGUCUUCGGAUUGUAAAGCACUUUAAGUUGGGAGGAAGGGCAGUAAGUUAAUACCUUGCUGUUUUGACGUUACCAACAGAAUAAGCACCGGCUAACUUCGUG
rnacentral:rRNA from 1 species